GGCACAGUGGCACAGUGGUUAGCACUCACAGCUAGAAGGUCUUCGGUUCGAAUCUGGCCUGUGGCG